rnacentral:rRNA from 1 species
UACGAAGGGGGCUAGCGUUGCUCGGAAUUACUGGGCGUAAAGCGCACGUAGGCGGCUUUCUAAGUCGGGGGUGAAAUCCUGGAGCUCAACUCCAGAACUGCCUUCGAUACUGGAAAGCUCGAGUCCGGGAGAGGUGAGUGGAACUGCGAGUGUAGAGGUGAAAUUCGUAGAUAUCCGGAGGAACACCGGUGGCGAAGGCGGCUUCCUGGACCGACACUGACGCUGAGGCGCGAAAGCUAGGGGAGCAAACGGG